AUUUAAAUAGUUUAAUAUAAAUUUUGAUUUGUGGGAUCAGAGAUACAGAAAUGUUUUAAAUA
rnacentral:tRNA from 1 species